rnacentral:rRNA from 1 species
CUUGUUGGUGGGGUAAUGGCCUACCAAGGCGACGACGGGUAGCCGGCCUGAGAGGGCGACCGGCCACACUGGGACUGAGACACGGCCCAGACUCCUACGGGAGGCAGCAGUGGGGAAUAUUGCGCAAUGGGCGAAAGCCUGACGCAGCGACGCCGCGUGAGGGAUGAAGGCCUUCGGGUCGUAAACCUCUUUCAGCAGGGAAGAAGCGAAAGUGACGGUACCUGCAGAAGAAGCACCGGCUAACUACGUGCCAGCAGCCGCGGUAAUACGUAGGGUGCAAGCGUUGUCCGGAAUUAUUGGGCGUAAAGAGCUCGUAGGCGGUCUGUCGCGUCUGCUGUGAAAACUCAGGGCUUAACCCUGAGCUUGCAGUGGGUACGGGCAGACUAGAGUGCGGUAGGGGAGACUGGAAUUCCUGGUGUAGCGGUGAAAUGCGCAGAUAUCAGGAGGAACACCGGUGGCGAAGGCGGGUCUCUGGGCCGUAACUGACGCUGAGGAGCGAAAGCAUGGGGAGCGAACAGGAUUAGAUACCCUGGUAGUCCAUGCCGUAAACGUUGGGCGCUAGGUGUGGGGCUCAUUCCACGAGUUCCGUGCCGCAGCUAACGCAUUAAGCGCCCCGCCUGGGGAGUACGGCCGCAAGGCUAAAACUCAAAGGAAUUGACG